rnacentral:lncRNA from 1 species
AAGCACGCGCAGUUCAGUUCCCCUCCUGCCGUUACCAGGAUUGCAGUCGGUUCUAGAGCUGAAUCGGUUAUAACUGCUCCAGGCUCAUAGGUUUCUCAACCUCCGCCACCGGUUAUAGACAUUUCCUUUUAAUUCCCCUUCCAAGCAGGCUGAAGGCCUGAGAGAGGACUGUCCCACGACUUCUCCCGUCUGGUCCUGAAGUCUGUCUCCAGGAUGAAGAUUUUCAACUCGGACAGGAAAGGGCAGUCUACAUCGCGCUCCUUCGCUAUCUGGCGGAAUCACUUCGAAGCCCCAGAGUCCGACUCUAACGCUGGAUACCUGAUCCAGGAAAAGAACCUCUGGAAGCUCCACAAAGCUACCUCGAUCGGGGACAUGGCGAAAGUGCAGCAGCUGCUGCUGCGAGGAAAGCACAACGUGAAUGAUACUCUGGAUAAAGUGAAGAGGCCUGAGCUAACCCUCGGAAAAUGACAGCAAGUCCCGAAAGCCGGCGUCACCUCUCCCUCCUGCCUGUCCAUUUAUAAUGAAUGGGAAACUCUUUUCUACUUUUAGCCGGGGUCCAACUUUACCUAUACUUAAUCAGUGGCGACGUGGGAGCAAAUACUAUUCUCUUUUGCUGAAAUGUUGUCACGUCUAAAACGACUGCUUGAGGAGAAUUUAAUUGGCAAAGUUGCUGAACUGGUUUGUCAUUUCCUUCUUAAGUUCAUUUUGACAAAAGAGGAAACUGAGGCAAACCAGGUUACGUGAUCUGCCAGGGUCACAUAACUGUAAGUAUCUGUUUUUGUUUGUUUGUUUGUUUGCUUUUUUACAGGCAUUUGGAAUUAAGUGACUUGACUAGGGUCCCACAACAAGGAAGUGUUGUGUCUGAAGCCAAUCCUCCUAAAUUCCAGGGCAGGUGCUUUAUUGUCUUUGCCAUCUAGCUGCCCCUCAACUAACAAGGAUCUGACGUCAGAUUUGAACUCAAAAAGAUGGAUUUUCCUGACUCCAGGCCCAGAAAUUCUUAUUGUGCCAUGUAACUGCCCCAUAUAGUGAAAUAUGGAAAGGAUAUGUGAAGUGUAAUCCUGUCAAGGCAGAAAAUUGUUGCUUUUAUUAAUCCACUACUAUAUGUGUCAGCCACAAGUACAAAGAAAUGGGGGACUGGGAUUGUCACUGUAUUCUAGAUCAAUCAAAUAGGGGAAUUAAUUAGCAAGGGAAAUUGCAGAAAGUUAAAGAAUAUGAGAAUUGAGAAGAGAUCAUUGGAUUUGGCAAUUAAGAGAUCUUUGGAGAAUUUGGAAGAUGGACAUAGAGUAUUUUUAAAAAUUGAUAGGAAAGGAAGUGGACACACCAUUUGACAACAGUCCUCUCCUGGCAUUUAGCUACAAAAGACAGGAGAGAUGUGGGAUGAUAGUGGGGAUGGAUUGAACAAGUGAAAAGUUCUUUUA